rnacentral:rRNA from 1 species
AUUGAACGCUGGCGGAAUGCUUUACACAUGCAAGUCGAACGGCAGCACGGACUUCGGUCUGGUGGCGAGUGGCGAACGGGUGAGUAAUAUAUCGGAACGUGCCCAGUCGUGGGGGAUAACGUAGUGAAAAUUACGCUAAUACCGCAUACGAUCUAUGGAUGGAUGCGGGGGAUCGCAAGACCUCGCGCGAUUGGAGCGGCCGAUAUCAGAUUAGGUAGUUGGUAAGGUAAAGGCUAACCAAGCCGACGAUCUGUAGCUGGUCUGAGAGGACGACCAGCCACACUGGAACUAAGACACGGUCCAGACUCCUACGGGAGGCAGCAGUGGGGAAUUUUGGACAAUGGACGCAAGUCUGAUCCAGCCAUUCCGCGUGCAGGACGAAGGCCUUCGGGUUGUAAACUGCUUUUGUACAGAACGAAAAGGUCUCUAUUAAUACUAGGGGCUCAUGACGGUACUGUAAGAAUAAGCACCGGCUAACUACGUGCCAGCCGCCGCAGUAA